CAGUCUGGAGUCCGGGGGCGGUGUUAAGACGGGGGGUGGACGCUGUUGCUGGAUUCACGGGGCGGAAAGGUCGCGUAGUGGGCGUGAUAAGUUAGUGGUGAAAUCCCGUUUCUCAACGACGGGGCCGCAGGGGAGACUGUCUGGCUGGAGCUUGGUAGGGGCGAGUGGAAUUCCCGGUGUAGCGGUGGAAUGCGUAGAGAUCGGGAAGAACACCGGUGGCGAAGGCGGCUCGCUGGGCCAAUGCUGACGCUGAUGCGCGAAAGCGUGGGGAGCAAACAGGAUUAGAUACCCCUAGUAGUC
rnacentral:rRNA from 1 species